CAAUAGCGUAUACUAAUGUUGUUGCAGUUAAAAAGCUCGUAGUUGAACUUCUGGUAGGAGUGUCCCGGCCUUUUUGUUUUUACAAAUUGUAUGCUGUGUGACAUCUCUGGCCAUCCUUCUUCUUUGCUUAAAGAAGAUCUUUCACUGUAAAAAAAUUAGGGUGUUCAAAGCAAAAGUUUCUUUGGAAUAUAUUAGUAUGGGAUGAUAAGAUAGGCUCUAGAUGCUAUUUUGUUGGUUUGCACAUUUAGAGAAUGAUUAACAGGGACAGUUGGGGGUAUUCGUAUUUACAUGUCAGAGGUGAAAUUCUUGGAUUUUGGAAAGACGAACUACUGCGAAAGCAUUUACCAAGGAUGUUUUCAUUAA
rnacentral:rRNA from 1 species